GGGCGAAAGCCGGAUCCAGCCAGGCAGCGUGUGUGAAGAAGGUCUUCGGAUUGUAAAGCACUUUAAGUUGGGAGGAAGGGCAUUAACCUAAUACGUUAGUGUUUUGACGUUACCGACAGAAUAAGCACCGGCUAACUUCGUGCCAGCAGCCGCGGUAAUACGAAGGGUGCAAGCGUUAAUCGGAAUUACUGGGCGUAAAGCGCGCGUAGGUGGUUUGUUAAGUUGAAUGUGAAAG
rnacentral:rRNA from 1 species